rnacentral:lncRNA from 1 species
UUUUUUUUUUUUUGGCUCCUCCUUAUAUUUUCUAGUUCCUUUCUAAAGGAAUUACUGUUCAUAUUCUUAAUUCCUUCAGCAUUUUCUCUGUCUCCCUUUUAAACUCAAUGUCUGUCAGACUGCAGAGAUCUGUUUCAUUGUUGACUGCUUUAGGUGAAUUCUCCUGUUCCUUUAACUGAGAAUGUUUUCUGAGCUUCUUCAUCUUGAUUGUGUUUUUCUUUUUCUGUGAGUUUGGGGAAGCCAAACUGUAGUCUUGUAAGGCUACUUCUAUGCAAGAAUACCCUUUUGUAUUUUUUUUGGGGGGGGGUUACUAUUUAUUUUUGGUGUGGGAGUUUGAAUAUUUGCUGUCUCUUUGUUUGGUGUAAGCAGGCUGUUAUUCCCAGGAUGCUCAGUGUGUUUUCAGGGAGAGGGAGGCAAUGGGUAGGGCCAGCAGUCAGUGCCUGGUCAUUGGGCUCUCAACAGCAGCAAGGAUUUCCAGGAAGGUGGCACAGGUUACUCCUAGUUGUUGAGGCCUCCGGAGCCUGAGUCUCAGCACCCAGCCCCCACCAAACAUCUCAGGCUGUGGUGUCCGGGCCGAUGGUUCAGAUGAUCUGUGCAGCUCCCACUCUGCUUUGCUGUUCUCAGUCCAGCUGCUGUGCUUUUCUCGGCAACUUUGAGGUCCUGCCGACUCGGCUGAUCUUUCUGUCAAUUAGGGGGCUUCCCAGGAUGUGGGUUCCUUUUCCUUCAUAGCUCCCUCUCGAGAAUGCUAGUCCCGUCCUGAUUCCUUUUCUCUUUUUUUCUUUUGUUCUACCCAGUUAUGUCGAGAGUUUCUUGCCCUUUUUGAAGGUUUAAGUUCUUCUGCCAGCAUUCAGUGGAUGUUCUGUGCGAGUCGUUUUGCAUGUAGAUGUAUUUUUUUGAUGUGCUUGUAGGAGAAGGUGAGUGCAACCUCUUACUCCUCUACCAUCGUGCUCUGCCUCCAGUUCUGGUCAGCCCAGACUUUUAAUACUGAACCCACAAGGGUCAACCUGGGUGUCUUCACUUCCCAAUCUCAACCCUGUCUGGGAACUUCAGUAUAGAAAAAUCCAGACACAUUCUGCCCAAAGUGCCCUUUGAGUGGGUGGCACAUUGUUCUGCCCUGGUGUGAGACACCACGGACCUAUCAGACAGCCAGCAAGAGGGGGAUUUGCCCAAGACCCACAGGCCUCCGAGGCCAGAGACACCCCAGUGCUCAGUUUACAGGUGGCCUCUCAAAUGCUGGGGGACAUGCAGCCAAGGCCUUCAGUGAUGCCCCCUGGCCUCACUGAGACUUCUUAACCCUUGAAAAUAACUUUCAUAAAAUCACCAUUUUUUUUAAAGUCUGUAUUUAAAAAAUAAAACAACUUGCCCUGCCUGUAUUUGGCAGUGCCAACUUUCCUGGACUGUGUGUGUGUGUGUGUGUGUGUUGCCUAUUUCUUUCCCUUUCAUAUCGCUAAUACAAGAGAACAUAAAUAAAUGAGCCUAUAGGAAGCAAAUUCACUCUAUGGAGCCAUUAACAAGUGAUUUUCUUGGGUUAUGUUGACUCAUUUUUAUUAUUAUUUUUUUAAUUUUAUUUUAUUUUGCUUUUUAGGGCCAUACCCGUGGCAUAUGGAGGUUCCCAGGCUAGGGGUAGAAUCAGAGCUACAGCUGUCGGCCUACACCACAGCCGCAGCAACUGGGAAUCUGAGCCAUGUCUGUGGCCUACACCACAGCUCACAGCAACGCCAGAUCCUUAACCAACUGAACAAGGCCUGGGGUCGAACCCACAACCUCAUGGUUCCUGGUCAGAAUCGUUUCUGCUAUGCCAUGAUGGGAACCCCUGUUGGCUCAUUUUUAGAUCCUUUCUCCCCAUCUGCUCCAGUCCCUGGGUGCUAUGACUGAGCUAGGCCAUCCCCUGAAUUUAGGGAGAACUGUAUUCCCCAAAGGGCAAAACUGCCCCAGGAGCUGAUGGCCCCAGUGAGGAUGCACAGUACCCAUGACAGGAAGCAAGAGCUGGAGGCCAGUGGGUAGGGCACCUGAAUGAGUGUCGGGUAUGGGUGGAUGGCCACAUGGGUGAUCAGGAGAGUGGAGAGGAAGUCCCAAGGGAGCCUAACAUGGGGUGAGGGAGGGCCCACCUUGGGGUUCAGAUCAGCCUGCAAAGGAAUGUGCCUCUGGGGUGGAGGAAAGGCAGGCUGGGGUGCAGAAAGAGCUGGAGGCUGGGGGAGAGGGGAUACAAAUUAGCUUGUGUGUUCUUUGGCUCCGUGGUAUGUAUUUAGUAGGUGCAAAGAUGAGGGAAAGGAGGGAUGCAGGGAAGACAAGAGAAGGAAAGGACGAGGUUAAGACAAAGGCCAUUUGAAGGGAUGAGAAAAACAUUUAUUGGAAACUGCCUAAGAGCCCCUCGGGGAUGGCCUGGGACCCUCCAGGGAGAGUUGGCCUCGCCAUCUUCAGCUGCUGGUCGCUAACUGGUAGGGUCUGGAAUCACUUCUUGUGACAUGUCUCUCUGACAACCUCAGGACCUCGCAGAUGUGAGAGCCUAUUUCUGAACAAGGCUCUGUCUGAGCACUGGGAUGUGUCAAUUAGUCCAUCUUGAGGGUUUCAUAAAACCACAGAGUUCCUUCCUGUCGUGGCUCAGUGGAAACGAGUCUGAGUAGCAUCCAUGAGGAUGCAGGUUCUAUCCCUGGCCUCACUCAGUGGGUUAAGGAUCCGGUGUUGCCAUGAGCUGUUGUGCAGGUCACAGAUCAAUGCUGGAUCCUCAACCCUCUGAGCAAGGCCUAGGAUCGAACGCACAUCCUCAUGGAUACUAGUCGGAUUUAUUUUUGUUGUGCCACACGGGAGCUCCCCAUUUUGUGGAAGUUCUUGAAGGCUCAACUUUCCUCCCCUAGAACUAGGGCAAGUUGAGAGUUUUAAAGAGGCUUAAAGUUGGGAGGCUUAAAUCAUUAUUCCCAUUUUGCCCAGGUGACCAUCAUUCCAAGUUUUAUAAGUGGCUGGAGUCUGAUGGUGGAAGUACUGAGAAAACCUAUGGGGCAGGUGGACCAGCCUGGCUGCCCAGAAGCCCUGCCUGAGCCCCACUGCGGACUUCAUCCCCAGUCCCAGCAAGCAGUGACCCAGUCCCUGGCCAGGCCCAGGCUUAGAAGGUCCUCCCCAAGGUCAGAAGGACAAGCCCAGAAGAUGGGAAAGAAAAGGCAACCAUUCCUCACACACUAAGAUUCUCUGACUGCAGCCAGGCUACCAAGUUGUAGACGCACUUAGAGUGUGUGCACUGGGAGUUGCUGAGACCACGGUGGCAGUUUUGGAGUGUUUGGCUCCUGGACACCUCUGAGCGCAGGAGCCCCAGGUGCACAGACACUUUGCUGGCGUGUCUCACUUUCCCCUGGAUGGAAAUCCAGACCACAAUAUUGCUCUGAAACCCAGGGAGCCUUUUGAAGUCAUUGUGUUCCGACUUCAGACCACGUACACACAAAACCGCUGGCCUUCAUUAGGGGGAGAAAAAGCUGUUGGAUGGUUUGGCUACUAACUGCUUUUUUGGCAUUUUCGCAAUGGCUUUCAAUAACAAGGCACCCAUGGAAAGGCAGGGGUGGUGGAGGGGCGAUACAGCAGCAACAAAAGGGAGGGAUCUGGAAAAAUGGGAAACUUCCAUCUGCGAUAAGAAACCCUUAUGGCUCUUAUUAGGCUUUCUGCUCAGGCAGGGAGGUCCCCUGGCUUUAAUAAAAUCUCAUUUUCCCCUUAAACUCUCCCAUGUGGUAGGCGCCCAGAGUUUAAUGGGGACAGAAGAGAUGAUUCCAACCUGCGGCUCAGGUGGCCGGGGGGCCCCCCCACCUCCAGGCCCGCAGCCGGGAUUGAUUGCAGAGCGGCGGGGCCAGCGACACGCAAGCUGCAGCGCAUCAGAGAAUAAUCACCCGCCGUUUGAUGCUGACCCGGGCCAAACGAAGAUGGCAGCCUGGCUCCCGUGCGUCCCCGCUCCGAGGAGGGAGCAGCUCAUCCCCGUCUCUAUUAAGAGUGGACCCAAGGAGUAGGUCGACCAGCUCCAACAUGUGAUUUAUUAGGGGGCAUCUGCAUUUGAAAGGCUCUGUGGCUUUCAUCUCUGCC